CCAAUAGCGUAUAUUAAAGUUGUUGCAGUUAAAAAGCUCGUAGUUGAAUUUCGGGAUUAGUACGCUGGUCGUGCCUUCGGUAUGUACUGGUGUUACUGGUUCCUACCUUCUGACGAACCGUCAUGUCAUUAAUUUGGUGUGGCGGGAAAUCAGGACUGUUACUUUGAAAAAAUUAGAGUGUUUAAAGCAGGCUCGCGCUUGAAUACAUUAGCAUGGAAUAAUGAAAUAGGACGUUCGAUCCUAUUUUGUUGGUUUCUAGGAUUGACGUAAUGAUUAAUAGGGAUAGAUGGGGGCAUUAGUAUUCAAUUGUCAGAGGUGAAAUUCUUGGAUUUAUUGAAGACUAACUACUGCGAAAGCAUUUGCCAAGGAUGUUUUCAUUAAUCAAGAACGAAAGUUAGGGGAUCGAAGACGAUCAGAUACCGUCGUAGUCUUAACCAUAAACUAUGCCGACUAGGGAUCGGAUGAUGUUAUUUUUAAUGACUCAUUCGGCGCCUUACG
rnacentral:misc_RNA from 1 species